AAACAUGAUCUUUCGUUGACCA
rnacentral:siRNA from 1 species